rnacentral:rRNA from 1 species
CAGUCGCCACGGUAAUACGUAGGGUGCAAGCGUUAAUCGGAAUUACUGGGCGUAAAGCGUGCGCAGGCGGUUAUUCAAGACAGAUGUGAAAUCCCCGGGCUCAACCUGGGAACUGCAUUUGUGACUGGAUGACUAGAGUACGGCAGAGGGGGAUGGAAUUCCGCGUGUAGCAGUGAAAUGCGUAGAUAUGCGGAGGAACACCGAUGGCGAAGGCAAUCCCCUGGGCCUGUACUGACGCUCAUGCACGAAAGCGUGGGGAGCAAACAGGAUUAGAUACCCCCGUAGUCCCUGUCUCUUAUAC